CUCCAGGUGUUCGAGCUCGCUCCGCUAUGGUUCCAGCCACAAAUGCUCCUCCUGGUGAUGUUUUUACUUUUUCUCCCCUUCAAUUUUUCUUCUUUGUCAUGGCUUACGACCCCUUUCUCACCCUUCUCCCUUACUUAGUUUUCUUCUUAAAUCCUUGCUUGAGGAAGUGAUUUGGUGAUUUACACUUUUUAGAUCCUUGAUUCUACACAAUUUCUACUCUUUCUCUCAAGGUAAUUUUUUUGUUCAUGCGUUUUUCCCUCCUUUCUCUCCCUCCGUUUCAUCCCUCUGUUACCUCUGUUUUCGUCCCUCUAUUACCUCUGUUUCUGGCGUCAAAAUAAGGGAGAAAAAGUUGCUGGACAUUGCCAGCUCAUCAGGUAUUUACAAAACUGCCAUUGGUAAAUUUUAUGUUAUUUACUAUCCGACCAUUAGAAAUUUUUUAAAAUAUCUUCCUGAACUCGGAUUGCCCUAAAAUUUUAAUCAACUGUAGAAUUAUAUGUUGUAACAUUUCUCCUAAAAUUUCAGUUUAAUCUAAUGGUCGGAUUGAGCGUUCUGCUCAAAAGCGUGAAACUAUUUAAUAUGAGAAAUAUAUUUUAUUUAUUUAUUUAUUUUUUUUAUUAUUUUUUUUCAGGGUUUCACAUUCUCCUCUCCUAAUAAAAUUUCGUCCACGAAAUUUGAAUUUCUUACCUAUGUCAGCGAAUAAGUUUGGAUAUUUCUUCUUUAUUUCUGACUCCCUUUCCCACGUUUCUUCUUCCAUCUGUGAGUUUCUCCAUAAUAUCUUGACCAAGGCAACCUUCUUAUUUCUUAGCACUUUUUCACUCCUAUCUAGUAUUUUUACUGGUUUUACUUCUAAGGUCAAGUCCUCCUUGACUUCUACUGGAAUCUGCGGCAAAAGUCUUUUUGGAUCUAUUUCUGCCUUUCGAAGUAAAGAUACAUGAAACACAUUGUGUAUCUUUGAUAGAUGUGGGGGCAACACCAAUCUAUAAGCAACUGGCCCAAUCCUCUGCACCACUUCGAAUGGACCUAUAUGUCUGGGUGCUAAUUUGCCUUUCAUUCCAAAACGAAUAAUAUUUUUCCAUGGGGCAACCUUCAAGUAUACUUGGUCUCCUACUUCAAAUUCCAACGGUCUUCUUCUAUUGUCUGCAUAGCUCUUCUGUCUAUCCUGAGCCCCUUUCAUUCUAUCUUGAAUCAUUCUCACUUUUUCCGUAGUCACCUUCACCAAUUCAGACCCUAACAACUUUCUUUCUCCAACUUCCUCCCAACACAGUGGUGUACGACACCUUCUUCCAUAUAAGGCUUCAUAUGGCGCCAUCCCAAUUGUCGCUUGAUAGCUGUUGUUAUAAGUAAAUUCUACCAAUGAUAAGUAUCUUCCCAUUGCCCUCCAAAAUCUAAGAUGCACAAUCUUAAUAAAUCUUCUAACACUUGUAUCGUUCUCUCAGACUGUCCAUCUGUCUGUGGGUGGAAGGCCGUGCUUAAAUUCAUUUUUGUCCCUAAAGCUUGUUGCAAACUAGGCCACAACCUUGAUGUAAAUCGAGGAUCCCGAUCUGAUACUAUGGAUACUGGAACUCCAUGAAGCCGAACUACUUCACUUACAUACAGUUUUGCCAAUUUAUCUACCGAAUCUAUCAUUUUCAUUGGUAAAAACAAGGCAGACUUGGUCAAUCUAUCGACAAUCACCCAAACUGCAUCAUUCCCCUUUUUACUCUUUGGAAGUCCAGACACAAAAUCCAUGGUAAUAUUUUCCCAUUUCCAUUCCGGAAUUGGGAGCGGUUGUAGUUCUCCCGCGGGUCUCUUAUGCUCCACUUUGACCUGCUGACAAAUAGCACACUUGGCCACAUAUUCAGCUAUCUCCUUCUUCAUCCUUGGCCACCAAUAAUAUUCUUUUAGAUCUUUGAACAUCUUUGUGCUCCCAAGAUGCACUGUAAGCCUUGAUUCAUGUGCUUCCCUCAGAAUGUUUUCUUUCAAGUCUUUAUCCUCUGGUACGUAAACCCGUUUCUGCAUAGCCAGUAUUCUGUCUUCCCUUAACUGAAAUGGGGUCUCUUGUUUUAGCUUCAUUUCAUCCUUUAUCUUCUCCGCUUUCACAUCGUUCUUCUGAGCUUCUAAGAUCUUAUCCCAUAACAUGGGUUGGGCUACCAUUUGAGCUAGUAGAGAUCCAUUAAGUUCUACACCCAUCCGUGUCCUCAAUUCCCCCAACUCUAUCAAUUCUUUUACAUUGUUAAUUGUCAUCCCACCAAUCACUGCCUUGUUCUUUCUGCUUAGGGAAUCUGCUACAAUAUUUGCCUUCCCAGGGUGAUAAUCAAUAACACAGUCAUAAUCCUUUAUCAAUUCUAUCCACCUUCUUUGCUGCAUAUUUAAUUCUCUCUGGGACAUCAAGUACUUCAAACUCUUAUGAUCUGUAAAAAUUUGUACUUGGGCUCCAUACAAGUAAUGUCUCCAUAUUCUUAAUGCAAAAACUACUGCUGCUAACUCUAAAUCAUGCACUGGGUAGUUUACUUCAUGAGGUUUUAAUUGUCUUGAAGCAUAAGCAAUCACCUUCCCCUUUUGCAUUAACACACACCCUAGUCCUUUGUUUGAUGCAUCACUGUAUACUAUGAAUCCUUCUUGUCCUUCAGGUAAUGUCAGUACUGGAGCAGUGGUUAGCCUCUUCUUGAGUUCUUGAAAGCUUUGCUCACAUUCCUUAGACCAUUCAAACUUAACUUCCUUUCGAGUUAAUUAGGUCAUUGGAGAGGCUAUAGUUGAAAAGGCUUCUAUAAAUCUCCUGUAGUACCCGACCAGCCCUAGAAAACUUCGAAUCUCAGUCACAUUGGUGGGUCUCUCCCAUUUCAGUAUAGCUUCAAUUUUCCUGGGAUAUACAAAUAUGCCUUCUGCUGAAACUACAUGUCCCAAGAAAUUUACCCUAUCUAACCAGAAAUCACAUUUGCUUAGUUUGGCAUACAACUGGUUUUCUCGUAACACUUGCAAAACAUUCUUUAAGUGUUGCUCAUGAUCCGUCAAAGAUUUGGAAUAUACCAAGAUAUCAUCAAUAAACACCACUACAUACUUGUCUAAAUAGGAUUUAAACACUCGAUUCAUCAAAUCCAUGAACAUUGCAGGGACAUUAGUCAACCCAAAAGGCAUCACUAGAAAUUCAUAAUGCCCAUAUCGAGUUCUAAAAGAAGUUUUUGGUACAUCCUGCUCCUUGAUUCUCAGUUGAUGGUAUCCCGAUCUCAGAUCUAUCUUAGAAAAUACUUGUGCUCCCUUAAAUUGAUCAAACAAAUCAUCUAUCCGAGGAAGCGGAUACUUAUUCUUUACUGUCACCUUGUUUAACUGUCUAUAGUCUAUGCAAAGCCGGAAGGUACCAUCCUUCUUUUUGACAAACAAUACAGGAGCUCCCCAAGGGGAAUUACUUGGCCUAAUGAAUCCUUUAUCUAGUAGCUCUUGUAAUUGCACCUUCAAUUCAGCUAACUCUACUGGUGCCAUUCUAUAGGGAGCUCGGGAUGUGGGCAUAGUACCAGGUAGUACCUCUAUAGAAAAUUCUAUUUCUCGUUUUGGAGGUAGUCCUGACAACUCCUCAGGGAACACAUCUGGGUAUUCUCUUACUAUAGGAAUGUCCCUAAACUCCUUAUCCUGCUUCUCGUUGUCUACCACAUAAGCUAAAUAAGCUUGACACCCCUUUCUUAACAAUUUUUUAACAGUCAUUACAGAAAUAAUACUACCCAAAAUUACCCUUCUCUCUCCCUUAUAUUCUACCUUCUUCCCUUCUAUUACAUUAAAAGUCACAAUCUUAUUAUAACAAUCCAUGGUUGCAUGGUGUUUACCCAACCAGUCCAUCCCUAAAAUUACAUCAAAAUCUUGGAUAGUUAAAGGAACUAAAUCUACAUGCAAAUUUUGACCUCCAAUUUGUACAUUACACCCCCUAUAUAUUUCAUCUAUGUCUACCCUUUCCCCAAGAGGAGUACUAACCGUCAACCCUUUUUCUAACAUACAUUUUGGCAUGGUUAGCUUAUGUAUAAAUUUUGUUGACACAAAAGAAUGAGUCGCUCCAGGAUCUAGCAAUGCAUAAACUUGUUGAGCAUUCAAUGUAAUCAUACCUGCCACCACAUCUGAGGCAGCUCGUACCUCCUCCUAGGUCAUAUGAUAUACUCUUCCUUGGGUUCUAUUUCCUGUACUCCUACUCCUUCCUCUAUUUGCACUGACUCCAGAUUGUGUAGGUCGCAUUGAUUCCUUUUCAGGUCUAUCCACAGUUACUGAUUGUUGAUGACUUUGAGCUUGUCCCCUAUUUGGGCAGUUUCGACGAUAAUGCCCCUUCUCCCCACAUAAGUGACACCCUUCAGUAACAUAUCUGCACUCCUUCCAACGAUGCCCCUCCUGUCUACAAACAAAACAACGCCCUGGUGUCACCCUACAAUCUCCUGGGUGGAAUCGAUUACACACUUCACAGUGGGGAUGGUUUGAAGUUUCUUGUCUCAUAAUUCUUGUUGAACUUCCCCCUCUAACUUGCCCCUGUCGGGCUCCACCGCUAAAUUGUCCACUCCUUUCGACUUGGAAGAACCUGCCAGUAUUUCCUCUAAAAAGCUGAUUUCUGGAUAAUCCUUCCCCACUUUGUUUUGAAAUAGGUGACCUAGAAAAAUGAGUAGCAGUCUCUUUCCUCUUCCCAGCUGUUAUUUGCCCCUGCCUAGUUAUGUCAUGUUGGUCUACUUUCAACACCGCCUCUAAAGCUUGAGCAGCCUCUACCAAUUCCCUCAGAGUCUUUGGUUGAUAAGUGAUUAACCCCUUCUUUAAUUCCUGGGUCAAUCCCUCUUUAAAUCUCCCAAUUCUGUGAUGCUCCGUAGGAAUCAACACAGAGGCAAAUGUAGAAAGGCUUUGGAACCGUCUUUCAUACUCCAUAACUGUCAUGUCUAGUUCUUUCAAAUUUAAAAACUCUUGCUCUUUAUUCCAUCGAAAUUGUGCUGAGUAGUAUCGAAUCUCGAACUCAUGUUUAAAAUCAGCCCAGGAAAGCACCUCUCCUAUUCUCCUUUCCUUUACUGUAGCCCACCAAGUUUGGGCCUCAUCAGAUAGUAGUUGAGCCACACAAUUUACUUGCAUAUCUUCAGGCACUGGUAUCUGAAAAAGGGACUCCUCCACUUUUCGAAGCCAUCGUCCUGAGAUUUCUGCAUCCUCCUCUCCAAGGUAUGAUGUACAUCCCAUUUCUCUCAUACUUUUUACCCAAUAAACCAAAGUUUUAACUCUUUCCGUGUUCACUCCUCCAAUAACCCCUACCAUACCAGCCACCACAGCCCUCACUAUCUGUUCUAUAGAAGCAGGAUCCACAGAUUGCAUAGGUGCCCCCAAUGGCACUGUAGGUUGAGGUGGAUAAACCUGCUCAACCGGUUCUGGUCUCUGCACUCUUGGCACUCUUGGUGCUGAGGAUGCCGCUGAAGUACUAUGUGAUCCCACAAACUCUCUAUGCCUUACCUGCUCCCCAAGAUUAUGGGAUGCAGUAUCCCCAAGGGGGUCGUUCCUUUGAGCCUCAUUAUCAUUCUGUCCCCUCUCGGGAAUAAGGUCAAUCUGAUCUUCAGCUCUAGCUUCAGCUCGAGUACGUGCCAUUCUAUAUGAAAGAUUCAAGUUCUAUAUUAGUAACCCUUGCUUUCUUUUCACAUUCACAUCAAAAUAUAACCUAGUUCUGAUACCAAAUGUAACACUUGCAUUUUAUUUAUGUCAAAUUCGUUAAAAAAUUAGGAUUUGUUUUUUUGCAUAUGCUUAUAUAUAAAUUAUUAUUAUUAUUAAAUGGGCUACCGAAAAUUCGGCAGAGUCUCCUCUGUAAAUUGACCUUCCCAAGUGUCGACAUCAACCUAAAACACAAUUUAUCCUGCAUAUUUAUGAUCCAACCAUUAUAGACUUCUUCAACAGAAAUCUGAUUACUCAUCACAUUAUCCACUUUAACUUGUAUCUUUAGCAUUUUCCCUUCUACCAAUAAUGUCAUAUAUCUUUUUCUUCACACAUAAUAUUAUUGAAACAAGCAUAUUAUAAAGUUAUCUACAUGCAUACUAAAAAUUCUUUAAUGCUUACACAAAAGAAAUUUAGUUAACUAACAAGUGGUAUAUGACUUAACACUAAUUACAAGCCCAAAAGAUAACUUUAAAAUCCUAGUGAACUAGAAAAUUACAUAAUCCAGAUAUCCAAAAUAUACCAAGUAACUAUCCACAAAAGAAGAUAAUCAAGGUUGUCCUGCGGUAUGAGAAGGAUCUGCAGCAAAUACAACGUAAUUUAUUUAGUAAUACUAAUUUAAUUUAUCUACACACACACAUAUAUAUAUAUAGUUGACAAAUUUUAUUUUAUUUUUUUAUACCACCUUGGUCCCCAUCUUAAUGGAAAUCCAAGUAAUCACACAAUUGAUCUAGGUCUUCCGCAAUUCCUGAUCAAAUUCAUUUCCACCUUAGUCAUUUUACACAUGAAUGACUAAGUUUUAUAACCACACCUUAGUUUCCGUUCUUACGGAUGACUAAGUCAUUUUUUCCAUAUCACCUUAACCAUGCUUUUGCAAAUGGCCAAGUCAAAUACUAUUCACCUUAGCUUUCCACCACUUUGGAAAACUAAGUCAAAAAUUAAUAUUCAUAUCUCCUUAGUUUCUGACCAUUUAGACAACUAAGUCAUAUACAUUAUCUUUUAUAUUAAUUAAUUUGUUCAACGAAUGAUUCUCUUCAUUCUUAACCAUGUUCUCUCAUCAUUCUCUUACAACCAUGACAUAGUUCAGUUCUAAUAAUUAUGAAAUGUAAAUAACAAAGGCAACCCAAUCAUAUAUAAGAAAAACUAAAGAACAACUACAAUAAUUUUACAUAGUUAAAGAGCGAAACACCUACCUGCAGCUCCAGGUGUUCGAGCUCGCUCCGCUAUGGUUCCAGCCACAAAUGCUCCUCCUGGUGAUGUUUUUACUUUUUCUCCCCUUCAAUUUUUCUUCUUUGUCAUGGCUUACGACCCCUUUCUCACCCUUCUCCCUCACUUAGUUUUCUUCGUAAAUCCUUGCUUGAGGAAGUGAUUUGGUGAUUUACACUUUUUAGAUCCUUGAUUCUACACAAUUUCUACUCUUUCUCUCAAGGUAAUUUUUUUUUUCAUGCGUUUUUCCCUCCUUU
rnacentral:lncRNA from 1 species